rnacentral:lncRNA from 1 species
UUGUAUCAUAGAGCUCCUAGCUCAAACAUUCCAGAACUUUGGAGCAGGGUUAACGAAGACAACAAUAAGAAUUUGUUCUGAACUGCCAAAACUAGAAUUCAUAGUGAGAUUGGGUUCGCUUCUAGGAGAGAAGUAUGUUGUACUUUUCUUUAUCAAGAGCAAAAAGAGCCAAAGAACUGAAGAAGGCAGAAAGAAAAACAGAAUCCUGUCUGAUCCAAUUAAUGGUUGAUUUACAAUACAAUAAAAAGGUAAAAACUGAAGUGUCUGAAUUAAUUAAUGUCUUAUUUUCUACAAUCAGUAUCACUGAAUAUGGAAUCAAAUUUGUACCUAAACUAGGUUUAGACUUUAGACAUUCUCCAUUCAUUGUGACUGUGGUUCUUCUGCAGACUCACACUUGCUCCUGACAAGUCAUGAUAGUUGAUAUUUAAGUAAAGCAUAUUGAAUCACAAAAAU